GAUGAACGCUGGCGGCGUGCCUAAUACAUGCAAGUCGAGCGAAUGGAUUAAGAGCUUGCUCUUAUGAAGUUAGCGGCGGACGGGUGAGUAACACGUGGGUAACCUGCCCAUAAGACUGGGAUAACUCCGGGAAAGCGGGGCUAAUACCGGACAACAUUUUGAACCGCAUGGUUCGAACUUGAAAGGCGGCUUCGGCUGACACGUAUGGAUGGACCUGCGUCGCAUACGCUAGUUGGUGAGGUAACGGCUCACCAAGGCAACGAUGCGUAGCCGACCUGAGAGGGUGAUCGGCCACACUGGGACUGAGACACGGCCCAGACUCCUACGGGAGGCAGCAGUAGGGAAUCUUCCGCAAUGGACGAAAGUCUGACGGAGCAACGCCGCGUGAGUGAUGAAGGCUUUCGGGUCGUAAAACUCUGUUGUUAGGGAAGAACAAGUGCUAGUUGAAUAAGCUGGCACCUUGACGGUACCUAACCAGAAAGCCACGGCUAACUACGUGCCAGCCGCCGCAGUAA
rnacentral:rRNA from 1 species